AGAAAGAGAAAUCUGGAAGGCAUGGACGCCGCCCUCCGGCUAACCACCACCUAUAGCAGUAUCCUGGUUCACCACACACUGAUCUCAGAAGAUUAUUCCAAAAAUUUCUCAUUUCAUUGCAUUGAGUAAGAAAAGCAUGUGGUACCAUCAGCUGAGGAAAACACAGACCUGGACUUCACAACUUCUGGCAAUGGUGUUAUACCUGGUACUCCCAAAACUUGACACUGAUACUGUUGAACAUUGCAGAGGAUCUGAGGAUAGAAGAAAACAUGUGAUAAACUGAGACUUAGCAGUUGAAUUAAUGUCACCAAGUUUGCGUUGACAAAAGAAAACUAUAUUCUGGAGGAAGUACUGGAAAAGAACAUGCAGAAAAGUCUCUUAAAGCUUUGUUAGUGAUUAACAAAGAAAUAUGGGAUUUUAAUAAAGAAGGUGAAAAACAAAUACUGCCAAAGCAAAAUCAGUCAGGUUGUUAAAUACGAAAUGCCAUUUUAUCUGCUGUAGGGUCAAAUAAGAUGAAAUCAAACAAGAAGUGACAUCAUGAAUGUCAGAUUUGCACUGUGAAGAUUUUAGCUCAUGAAAGAUUUUAUACAUGUGUGGAAUGUGAUGCAAUUUUUUGACCAACCUUGUAUGUACGUUUUACUAAAAUUUGCCAUUCUGUGUUCACCAUGUGUUCAGUCAGAAGAGGGCAUUGUGCUGCAAGAUAGGACCACCUCAAAGUCUUUAGAGUGUUUUUGUUUUGUAAGUGUAGAUGUGUUGAAAAAA